CAAAUGAAUCAUCAAACAAUCCAACAAAUUACACAAUCGUCUCAAGCAAUUAAACACAAUUUGCCAAAGUUCAAGAAUGAUGUCAAUCUUUGUGAGGAAUUAUCAGUUUCAUCAUCUCUAUCUGGUAGCAACAAUCCAUUAGAAUGCACCCAAUCACCCUCAGAACGGAUCCAAAUCGAGAAAGAAACAAAACAAAAAAAAAGGAGGGGUAUGGGUGAUACACGCACAAAGAGAAACGUGCCAGAGAAGAGGAUGAAGAUAGUGUGAUUAAAUAUCAUUGGAGAUCGUAGCGGCGGGCGACCUAGGGUUCCGACGUUGCAAAGCGGUAAGAAGAUGAGGGCUCCAACAAUGGCGAGCUUGUGGCGAGCUCGUGCAGAGGAGGAAUGGCUAGUGGCUGACGCGUGGCGGUUCUCGUUGGCGUCAUUGAUGGUUAAGGCACAUUGGAGUCUCGUCAAAACUAUGGGGGAGAAAGAAGAUGCUUUCUUUUGGGUCUGGUGGUGAAGAGGAAAUGACCACUAGGCUAGGGCAGAGGAGAAGUCAUUGUCGCUGAAAGUUAAGGCUCGCCAAUGUCUCGCCAGCAACGACAAUGGAUUUGGAGUUCGCCCCCGAGGCUGGACACUAUGAUUGCCUCAGCGGUGUGCAUGGGAGGAGUAUA
rnacentral:lncRNA from 1 species